AGCGAACGCUGGCGGCAGGCCUAACACAUGCAAGUCGAACGAACCUUUCGGGGUUAGUGGCGGACGGGUGAGUAACACGUGGGAACGUGCCUUUAGGUUCGGAAUAACUCAGGGAAACUUGUGCUAAUACCGAAUGUGCCCUUCGGGGGAAAGAUUUAUCGCCUUUAGAGCGGCCCGCGUCUGAUUAGCUAGUUGGCUGAGGUAAUGGCUCACCAAGGCGACGAUCAGUAGCUGGUCUGAGAGGAUGAUCAGCCACAUUGGGACUGAGACACGGCCCAAACUCCUACGGGAGGCAGCAGUGGGGAAUCUUGCGCAAUGGGCGAAAGCCUGACGCAGCCAUGCCGCGUGAAUGAUGAAGGUCUUAGGAUUGUAAAAUUCUUUCACCGGGGACGAUAAUGACGGUACCCGGAGAAGAAGCCCCGGCUAACUUCGUG
rnacentral:rRNA from 1 species